ACCUCCUGUUUCUGCUCCACUUCACUGAUUACACCUAUAGGUUGAUGGAUUCUGAGUAUGGAGAAUAUUAAGCUAUUUGCUUUUGAGUCCUCGCUUCUUACCUCAUUCAAAUAGGGGACUCACUUGCCGAUGGAUCAUGUAUGUAGUCACAAAAGACUAGUUACUCCUUUUUGAGUGAUUAGAUUGUGGCGAUAUUCUACAUUC
rnacentral:snoRNA from 1 species